CGUCCAGUAUAGAAGGCAACAUUCACACUCACAAGCUCUCUCUGCAACUCAGCUGAGCUCAGAACUCCUGACAACAUUUCUUACAACUGCAGCUCUGGAAACUUCUCGGCUCGCUCUCUUGGAGGUUACCUGAGGAGCUGCCAGUCAACUUGUUACCGACCAGCCUUUGGCUCUCGCUUUUUUGGAUCAACUUACUGAAUAUCCCUCAUUAUCUUAUGGUUAUGUCUGCACUUCACAAAGCUUUAACACUCAGCCUGUGCAAUAUCUUUGAUUACUGAUCAUCUGCAUCACCAGGACUUGUCAUCACAGUCCUCUUGGAAACACGCCGUUUACUGUGGACAAAGUAACCCUGGCCUGAGAUAUUUUCUAAAUCUGACAUAUGAGUUCAGGCCUGUCACGUGAUUCCACAGGUCACCAGUGGCAUGAUCAUUUUAUUUAACCUCCUUGUUCUGCCUUGUCUUCCAUCAAUGUGCUGCUCCUGGCUUCUCCUGUUCAAGCCAAAGAGAAAGGAUGGGAGGAAAGGAAAUGACAACUGAGGCCAUCUGUCUCAUCAUGCUGCAGACCACCUGGUCAACAUGACUUAGCUAUUUGUUUCAGGAAAUUUUUCCUGGGCAAAGGCAUUCAUGGAACAAAUACUUGUUGAGUUCCCAUGAAGAGGAUGAGAUUGCUGUCUCUGCUUCUGGCAAGCCACCACACUGUCCGUGCAUGGUCCUCAUGAGCUUCUCUCUCUGCAAGAAGGGAGAAGCACUGUGUGUGUGUGUGUGUGUGUGUGUGUGUGUGUGUGUGUGUGCGCACGCGCAUGUGUGAUAUCACCCAGCAGAAUGAGACAUUUCAGAGUAAACCUCUCCCUCUUACAAAUGUCUAAACUUUUCUUGAUGGGUUUAAAGUUCACAAAAACUGUAAAACUCUGUAGCCAUGUCUUCUCUUGAGGAUGUGGUGAUGAGAGACAGACAGACAGAGAAAGAGAAAGAGAGACAGAGAGAGAGAUUUAAGGAAUUGGCUCAUGUGUUUGUGGGGGCUGUCAAGUACAGAAGUCCAAAGCUCAUAAGGCAGCCUGUAGGCCGGAAACUCAAGCAGGAUUUCUAUUUACAGACUUGAGGCAGAAUUUCUUCUCUGAGACACCCUUGUUUUUGCCCUUAAGGUCUUAACAGAUUGGAUGAGGCCCACUGGCAUUAUCAAGAACAAUCUCCUUUACUUAAAGUCAACUGAUUGCAAAUGUUAAUCACAUCUACGAAAUGACUUCACAACAACAGCAAGACGAGUAUUUGACCAAAUGACUGGGCACCAUAGCCUAGCCAAGCUGACAUAAUAUUAAGCAUCACAGGCUCCAUUUCCUAGAGAAUCUGGGCUGACAGUCUCUAUUUCAUAAGAAAUAUAGUUUAAAUUACUGCAAAAGACUUAAAGCAAGAGUAAAUUAAAUUUUUCCUUGUAAGUAAUCUUCCACUCAGUUUAUAAAUUUAUUUGCAUACUUCUUUAGAUCAUUUUUUCAGAUUUCUAUGUGCAGUUUGUAAGAGCAAUUUCUAGCACAGUUUCAUGAUUGUUCACUGGAAUAACUAAACCUCUUAAUAAGAUGUCCAAGUGUAUUCACAAAAAUAAUUUAUUUUUCUGCUAAUGAGCCCUCCAUGCUCUCCAGUGAGGCUCUUUUAAGAACACAACUCUGGCCAGCUGUGUACAAGAGACAUAUUAGGGUAGAGGGCAACGUCAAGAGAAUUUAUUUCCAAAAUCAUUUUAAAUCUCUAUGUCCAUCUUAGGCUCUUUCUGGCCAUCGCAUUUCUCAUAUUUGCUUCAUUCAAUGGCUUUGUGAUGCCCCCUCCCCUUUUUGUGUCAUGCCCUUCUUUUAUCCUUCUCUGCCUUUCUGCUUUGUUUCCUGCAUUUUAAUCAAGCAUUCACUCUCUUCAUAGUUUCCACAGAUCUUGACAUUAUUAACAUUUGGUUUGGAUACUUCUUUGUUAGGAUAGGUCUGUCUUGAGCAUUGUAAGAUGUUCAGCAGCAUCCCUGGCCUCUUCCCACUAGAUACCAGUAGCAUUAUCACCCCCCUACUUGUGACAAUCAAGUAUGUCUCCAGACAUUGCGAAAUGUGCUCUGAAGGCAAAAUCACCCCCUGUUUAGAACCACUGAUUUAGAUGGAUAUCCUGGGGAUGAGCUUUUUGGGAUAGUUCUUAACCGUGAACACUGGACCUGUCCCCUAUUUGGGAUGGGGAUAGGACAGUAAAAAUGCAAUAUUAUAUUACUCCAUGCAUAAAUGAGGCGUUGUGAAUGAUGACUGCCCAAUAAAUAUACUUAUACUUUAUAAAUUUAAAAUAAUGUUGAAUUACCUACUUGGCAACUAUUAUUCCACUGUUGUACAUGAAUAUAGUAGUUGUGAUUGUGUUUACAAUUAUAAUGACCUGUUCAAAUGAAAUUAGAAAUAAUAAUAACAUUUUUUUGGACAAGCUUCCCAGUUCUAGAAUGUCUAAGUUAUCUGCUGGGAUCACACCUACUCAUUGAUCAUCCCAGACCAAGAAGUAAUAGUAAGACUUAGAUUAUCUUCUCAUUAUAUUUCAAAUAAUCAUUUCUGCGUGAGACCAAUUGCUGGUUUAUAGACUCUGCUUUAAUAUCUCUUGGGCAUUCUGAAAGCUUUCUUCAAUUUGUCUGACUCAUUCUGGAUACUCCACAAAAAUGACUUCAACUCUUUUCGUAUCAACCAGCAGUGUCGGAGCUGGCCAUAAACUACAUUUCUUUAUUUUGAAGCUUUGCAAUUGAUAUCACAGGGUUAUGCUAGGUCUUACAGGAUGCUAGUUUAAGCAAUAACAUAGUGGAAUUCAUGGGAAGCUAUCAAUAACAUUGUAAACUAUAACUUUGGUUAGAUUGAUAUAAUAGCAUGAGAAAAAAACUAUAGACUAGGGGAAUUUUCCCAGAAAAGGUAAAGCUCAGGUUAGGACCUAGAGGACAAUACAUUUGGACAGGCACAGUAAAGUCACAGGAGAGGAAAUAGAACAGGUAAAACAUGCAAAGUACAUGUUUGAGGACAGGCAAGGAUUCUCCUGUACCCUUUGCAUGUGGAGAAGAGCUUGGCCUUAAACUGGAAAGAUUAUUUGCCCAUGGAUAUUAUGCUAACAAAGUUUAACUAUAUUACUUAAGAAACCAGAGAUCAAUGGAAAUUUCUGAGUAGGGUAAUUUUAGAAUUUCAUUCUGUCACCUAAAUUUGAUAUGCUUUUUGGUGGCAGAUAGAUUUUUUUAAUGAGAACUGUUAUUUGAUUGUUGUAGUCAGUACUUUGUUUAUGAUAAUAUUUGUCCUUUACUUUUUUUUUCACAUUUUAUUGUCUAGAAUCCUUCUGGCCAGAAAGGUAUUAGAAGUAUUUUGUAGUUUGUGGACUAUAUCCUAUUUUCCAACUCUUCCCAAAUUUCCUGAAAGAAAUUCCUGAGACAGAGACUGUACCUUUUAUGUAAUUUGUUACUUUCAGAGUAUCAUUUAAUAAAAUGUUAGCAAUUGAUUCAUCUUCUUUCAAGGGAGCAUAGCACCUGAGAUAUAUAUUAUUUAUUAAAUGUAGAAAACUAACUUGAUAUCAUCUCUCCUUCAGAAUUUGUCCUGGUCAACAAAAUGUCUACUUAUUAUUCUCCAAUGUUUCUGACGUGUAUGUCAUCAUGUCACAUAUAGGCCAUGCUUCCUGAUGGACAGAGGAAACUUUGUGGAGAUGAAGCAAUCUUCUCAAAGGAGAGGACUGUCCCAUCUCAGAAGCAGCAAACAUUUCUUAUUAAUGACAGUUUCAAGUAUGUUUGUGUAUAAAGGGAUAAAAGACAUUUUGAAGAAUGUAUCACUGUUAAUACCAAAUUAUAUUGUUAGGCUUUUAUUGCUGGCUGAAAACAACAUUAAAAAAGUUUCAUGGUAGACAAAAAUUAAAAUUGGUUAUGGGAAUUGAAAUAAUUAGUCUGUUCACUUUUAUGUUAGUUUUAAAAGCAGUAGUCUAAAUUUUGUGGGCUUUUAUUGUUAACAGUACAUGUUAUAGCAAUAUACUCUUAUAAUCCAUAAACCAACUCAGAAAGUUGA